rnacentral:misc_RNA from 1 species
CGUCGCGCCGCGCCCCCUCCCCGCUCUGGGAUGGGGGUCGCGGUGCGCGGAGACUGGUCUCCCGUGCGCCCCCGGCGCGCGGAUGGCUCAAAUGUUAUCCCUCGGUGACGCACGUCACGGCCAUUUGUGGUUGUUCAGUCGACUCGUGUGCCGUCGUGCUCCGUUGCGUCCCCCGCGAGGGCAUCCGAACGUACCCUACGGCGCCUGGCGCCAGCAUCC